rnacentral:lncRNA from 13 species
GGACAAUACUGUGUUUUUAUAUUCAUGUGGAUUUUAAAAUGUCUGUGUACAGUGUAAGGACAACAGUACGUUUAUCAAAGCAACCAGCGAGGGAACAGUAUCUGGUUUUGUCCCAAGACAGUCAUUUCCUGUUCAACACCAAAUAUUUGGUGGCCUUAUCCGGCACGUUAGUCUAGAACCAUCAGCCAUUAGACGGGACAGAAUUCAGCAUUGCUCCUAAACCACUGCUGAAGGCAGUGUUUCUUCUUGUGCAUCGACACAGUGGAUUUAUGAGUGAAGUGUUUUGCCACAGUCAGAGCAGGAGUAGGGCUUCUCUCCACUGUGUACCUGCUGGUGUUGCAUCAUGCUCCAUUUGGUGGAGAACCUCUUGCUACAGAAAGGGCAGCAGUAGGGGGUUCUCCCCGAUGUGAGUCUUCAGGUGCCGUUCCAGCUUGAGCUUAGACCUGAAUGCUAGUCUACACACAGUACACCAGGGGUCGAUCACGUUCUCUGGAUGAUGUUUCCGUUGGUGCGCGAUCAGCUUCCCGUUGGUUUGGAAGUUCUUGCAACAAUCUGCGCAGAGGAAAGGCUUCUCCUCCCCAGUGUGCUUCCUCUGGUGAACUUUCAGCGUACCAUUUUGAGCAAAACUCUUGCCGCAGUCAGGGCUUCUCUCCUGUGUGGGAUCUCAUGUGGACUUUUAGCACUGAUAAAUGUUUACAGUCUUUUCCGCACACUGAGCAGCAGUGGGGACGUCGGACCUGCUGUGUGCCUCGCCUGGUGUUGUUCGGGUUCUCCUGAUGUCAAAUGUUCAAGGACUCCUAAUUUUGAAUAUCCAGGUUCUUCAUUUUCUUCCAAUGUAGAAUGUCCCGGUUGUUCCGAUGUAGAAUGUCCCGGUUGUUCCAAUGUAGAAUGUCCCGGUUGUUCCGAUGUAGAAUGUCCCGGUUGUUCCGAUGUAGAAUGUCCCGGUUGUUCCGAUGUAGAAUGUCCCAGUUGUGCUGAUGUAGAAGGAUUCCACUCACUACCAGAGGUCUUAUUGGAACUCUCUCCUGUGUGGAUCAGAAAAGAUCAACAGGUGAGUCGAGCUCAAUAUGUUGUU